UGCCUAGGGAACUGCGCAGUCGAGGGGGAUAACAGUUGGAAACGACUGCUAAUACCGCAUACGCCCUACGGGGGAAAGGAGGGGCUCUUCGGACCUUUCGCGAUUGGAUGUACCUAGGUGGGAUUAGCUUGUUGGUGAGGUAAGAGCUCACCAAGGCGACGAUCCCUAGCUGUUCUGAGAGGAUGAUCAGCCACACUGGGACUGAGACACGGCCCAGACUCCUACGGGAGGCAGCAGUGGGGAAUAUUGCACAAUGGGCGAAAGCCUGAUGCAGCCAUGCCGCGUGUGUGAAGAAGGCCU
rnacentral:rRNA from 1 species